GAUUAUUCGGGCCGAGUGGAUUGCCCGCAACGCACUGUACCGGAGCAGUAGUGGCAGGAAACGGGGGCGCGAUGAUAAGGCCAAAGAGCAGUCGGGCGGCCCCCGGGUACAUGUGGUUCCUGGCAAGCUCGCGACUUUACCUGAAUGGUUGACUCGGUGACCAAUACCUCACUUUAGCGGGUGAGUGAGGUUUGUGUGAGGAAUAAAUUACCAGCUGGUCAAUAAUCGAUUCGAAUCGCCAUCGUUCACUGGAUAGUGAACACUUGACUCGAGUUACUGCAUCGUAGUAAUGAUGAUGGAACACAGAUGGUUAUGUGGAUAAUGUUGGAAAUGCUAAACCUGAGAUGGUAACCUUUGAUGUUAAUGGUUAAUCAAGUGAUUGCUUUAGCAUAGGUGCUUACCUAGAUUGAAUAGGUUAUAAUAAAUAUGAUGCAAAAGGACUUAAAUUAGUUUAUUCAUAAUAACUUAUGCUUUUCGCAAAUGAGUCAAGCUAGCCCACUAAAAGAAAGCCUUGCAUACUCCUUGGUGUCAUAUUAUUUUUGGUUUAUGACGGGUAAGUCUAGCUGAGUACCUUCUCAUACUCAGGGUUUAUUCCCACUUGUUGCAGGUUGUGAUGUAACAUAGCUACUGCAAGAAUUGGAAGACUCCGGCUGUAGUGGCGGAGUGUGAUCAUGGGCAUGAUCCUUCUGAGCUAUCUUAUCUCUCAUGCUUUUAUGGAAAAUUGACCUUGGUACUGGCAUGUAUUUGAAUUAAGGUGAUAUUAGUUUUCAAACUACCUUGCUUCCGCUACUUUUAAACUUGAGUUGUAAUAACUCUACUGAACUCCGAUAUAUGUUGAAUUACUUAUGAAAUGGAUGUAACAUAUGACCUGUUAUGUUGGACCACUACGAUCUUGGCUUGUAUGUUGGUUGGUUUGAAAUCCCUCGGGAUUUUAUUGGACUACCGGAGUUAUAAGAGCUUAAGUACGGGAAUUUAAUUGCUCCGGCGAUUGUUUUUGUACUUUUGUUCUUAUAAUUUGGGCGGUUCCGUGACAGCCGUCUGGGCGAGCGCCAUGCCCCGAUGAGUAGGAGGGCGCGGCGGCCGCCGCAAAACCCAGGGCACGAGCCUGGGUGGAGCAGAUCUUGGUGGUAGUAGCAAAUAUUCAAAUGAGAACUUUGAGGGCCGAAGAGGAGAAAGGUUCCAUGUGAACGGCACUUGCACAUGGGUAAGCCAAUCCUAAGGGACGGGGUAACCCCGGCAGACAGCGCGAUCUCGCGUGUUCCCCAAAAGGGAAUUGGGUUAAGAUUUCCCGAGUUGGGACAUGACGGUUGACGGCAAUGUUAGGAAGUCCGGAGACACCAGCGGGGGCCACAGGAAGAGUUAUCUUUUCUGCUUAACGGCCUGCCAACCCUAGAAUCAGUUUAGCCAGAGGUAGGGUCCAGCGGUCGGAAGAGCACCACACACGCGCGGUGUCCGGUGCGCCCUCGGCGGCCCUUGAAAAUCUGGAGGACCAAGUACCGUCCACGCCCAGUCAUACUCAUAACCGCAUCAGGUCUCCAAGGUAAACAGCCUCUGGCCAAUGGAACAAUGUAGGCAAGGGAAGUUGGCAAAACGGAUCUGCAACUUCGGGAAAAGGAUUUGCUCUGAGGUUGGGCUCAGGGGUCCUGGCCCCGAACCCGUCUGCUGCCGGCAGGCUGCUCGAGUUGCCCCGCGGCAAGAGCGGGCCGCUGCGUGCUAGUUGGGGGAUGAACUGGGAACGGUCUCUUCGGGGGCCUUCCCCGGGCUUCGAACAACCGACUUAGAAAUGGUACGGACAAGGGGAAUCCGACUAUAAGUAAAACAAAGUAUUGCGGUGGUCUCCACGGAUGCUGACGCAAUGUGAUUUCUGCCUAGUGCUCUGAAUGUCAAAGUGAAGAAAUUCAACCAAACAUGAGUAAACAGUGGGAUAACUAUGACUCUCUAAAGGUAGCCAAAGGCCUCAUCAUCUAAUUAGUGAUGCGCAUGAAUGGAUUAAUGAGAUUCGCACUAUCCCUGUCUACUAUCCAGCGAAACCACAUCUAAGGGAACGGGCUUAGCGGAAUCAGCGGAGAAAGAAGAGCCUGUUGAGCUUGACUCUAGUCCGACUUUGUGAAAUGACUUGAGAGGUGUAGGAUAAGUGGGAGCUUUCAGGCGCAAGUGAAAUACCACUACUUUUAUUGUUAUUUUACAUAUUCCAUGUGUCGAAAGCGGGGCAUCGCCCCUCCUUUUGGCUCUAAGGCCUGGCCUCGCUGGGCCGAUCUGGGUGGAAGACAUUGUCAGGUGGGGAGUUUGGCUGGGGUAGCACAUCUGUUAAAAGAUAACGCAGGUGUCCUGAGAUGAGCUCAACGAGAACAGAAAUCUCAUGUGGAACAAAAGGGUAAAAGCUCAUUUGAUUCUGAUUUCCAGUACGAAUACAAACCGUGAAAGUGUGGCCUACUGAUCCUUAGACCUUCGGAGUUUGAAGCUAGAGGUGUCAGAAAAGUUACCACAGGGAUAACUGGCUUGUGGCAGUCAAGCGUUCAUAGCAACGUUGCUUUUUGAUCCUUCGAUGUCGACUCUUCCUAUCACCGUGAAGCAGAAUUCACCAGGUGUUGGAUUGUUCACCCACCAAUAGGGAAUGUGAGCUGGGUUUAGACCAUCGCGAGAUAGGUUAGUUUUACCCUACUAAUGACCGUGUUGUGAUAGUAAUUCAACCUAGUAUGAGAGGAACCGUUGAUUCACACAAUUGGUCAUCAUGCUUGGUUUAAAAGCCAGUGGUGUGAAGCAACUGUGUGCCGGAUUAUGAAUGAAUGUCUCUAAGUUAGAAUCCAAGCUAGCAACUGGCGACUGUGCUCGCCACUCGCCCCGACCCACAUUAGGGCGUUCGUGCCCCAAGGGCCCGUGCCAUUGGCUCAGCUCGCCCGGCCGACGCGCCGUGGCGGGCUGCCUUGAAUCUCCCUUCCCAACGGGCGACGGGCUGAAUCAUUUGUAGAGGACUUAAAACAUGACAGGGUAUUGUAAGUGGCAGAGUGGCCUUGCUGCCAUGAUCCACUGAGAUCCAACCCUGUGUCGCACGGAUUCGUCCCUCCCCCCUCCA
rnacentral:rRNA from 1 species